GGCCUCGUAGCUCAACUGGAUAGAGUACUUGACUACGAAUCAAGCGGUUACAGGUUCGACUCCUGUCGAGGUCA
rnacentral:tRNA from 1 species